rnacentral:rRNA from 1 species
UGCAAGUCGAGGGAGAAGUUGCUUUCGGGCAGCAGGAACCGGCGAACGGGUGCGUAACACGUAUGCAACCUACCUAUAACUGGGGAAUAGCCCGAAGAAAUUCGGAUUAAUACCCUAUAAUAUUUAGUCAUCGCAUGAUGAUUAUCUUAAAACUCCGGUGGUUAUAGAUGGGCAUGCGGCCUAUUAGUUUGUUGGUGAGGUAACGGCUCACCAAGACUACGAUAGGUAGGGGUUCUGAGAGGAUGAUCCCCCACACUGGUACUGAGACACGGACCAGACUCC